rnacentral:rRNA from 1 species
UGCCAGACUCCUACGGGAGGCAGCAGUGGGGAAUAUUGCACAAUGGGGGAAACCCUGGUGCAGCGACGCCGCGUGAGCGAUGAAGUAUUUCGGUAUGUAGAGCUCUAUCAGCAGGGAAGAAAAUGACGGUACCUGACUAAGAAGCCCCGGCUAACUACGUGCCAACAGCCGCGGUAAUACGUAGGGGGCAAGCGUUAUCCGGAUUUACUGGGUGUAAAGGGAGCGUAGACGGCGGUGCAAGCCAGAUGUGAAAGCCCGGGGCUCAACCCCGGGACUGCAUUUGGAACUGUGCUGCUAGAGUGUCGGAGAGGCAGGCGGAAUUCCUAGUGUAGCGGUGAAAUGCGUAGAUAUUAGGAGGAACACCAGUGGCGAAGGCGUCUUACUGGACCGAAACUGACGUUGAGGCUCGAAAGCGUGGGGAGCAAACAGGAUUAGAUACCCUUGUAA